rnacentral:rRNA from 1 species
UACAGAGGGUGCGAGCGUUGUCCGGAAUCACUGGGCGUAAAGGGCGCGUAGGUGGCUUGUUAAGCGUGUGGUGAAAGCCUGGGGCUCAACCCCAGGUCUGCCGUGCGAACUGGCAAGCUUGAGCGUAGUAGAGGCAGGUGGAAUUUCGGGUGUAGCGGUGGAAUGCGUAGAUAUCCGAAAGAACACCGGUGGCGAAGGCGGCUGCCUGGGCCUGGCCUGACGCUGAGGCGCGAAAGCGUGGGGAGCGAUCCGG